GGCUUGCUGGUCUAUAUUAGUGUAUGAUUCUCGCUUUGGGUGCGAGAGGUCACAGGUUCGAUUCCCGUGCAAGCCC
rnacentral:tRNA from 1 species